GUACACGCUGUGACUAGCAUAUCAAUAAGCGGAGGAAAAGAAACUAACAAGGAUUCCCCUAGUAACGGCGAGUGAAGCGGGAAGAGCUCAAAUUUGAAAUCUUAAAGGGUUUCCCUUUACGAAUUGUAGUUUAAAGAAGUGUUUUCUGUUGAGGUUUUGGUAAAAGUUCUUUGGAAUAGGACAUCAUAGAGGGUGAGAAUCCCGUAUUUGACCUUUACUUUCAACUUUGUGAUACACUUUCAAAGAGUUGGAUUGUUUGGGAAUGCAGUCCAAAAUGGGUGGUAAAUUUCAUCUAAAGCUAAAUAUUGGCGAGAGACCGAUAGCGAACAAGUACCGUGAGGGAAAGACGAAAAGAACUUUGAAAAGAGAGUUAAACAGUACGUGAAAUUGUCAAAGGGAAGCGUUUGACACCAGUGUUGUUUUUCUGAAAAUCAAUUAAAGAACUGUUUAUGCUAAGUUGUUUAGACUUUAUCAGCUAACUGUUUAGUUUUGAGCUUUUCUUUAAUGCACUUUUCAGUUAACAAGUCAACAUCAAUUUCUUUUGCUGUAAAAAAGCUUGAGGAAGGUGGCUUGAGAUUCGUCUUAAGUGUUUAUAGCCUCUUGCCUAUGCAGUCGGAGAGAUUGAGGUCUGCAGCGUAGAUCCUUCGGGGCUAAAUGCAUUUGUGCUAAGUUAUAGCAUUUUAUAGACAACUUGUUGACUAUGAUUUGUCUUGUAGCUUACUCGCUUAUGUUAUUUUACCUACGCUUAGGAUGUUGAAGAUGUAGCACAUCAU
rnacentral:rRNA from 1 species